rnacentral:rRNA from 1 species
GACGAACGCUGGCGGCGUGCUUAACACAUGCAAGUCGAACGGAAAGGCCCUGCUUUUGUGGGGUGCUCGAGUGGCGAACGGGUGAGUAACACGUGAGUAACCUGCCCUUGACUUUGGGAUAACUUCAGGAAACUGGGGCUAAUACCGGAUAGGAGCUCCUGCUGCAUGGUGGGGGUUGGAAAGUUUCGGCGGUUAGGGAUGGACUCGCGGCUUAUCAGCUUGUUGGUGGGGUAGUGGCUUACCAAGGCUUUGACGGGUAGCCGGCCUGAGAGGGUGACCGGCCACAUUGGGACUGAGAUACGGCCCAGACUCCUACGGGAGGCAGCAGUGGGGAAUAUUGCACAAUGGGCGGAAGCCUGAUGCAGCAACGCCGCGUGCGGGAUGACGGCCUUCGGGUUGUAAACCGCUUUCGCCUGUGACGAAGCGUGAGUGACGGUAAUGGGUAAAGAAGCACCGGCUAACGACGUG